GGCCCCCAAAAUAGAUGCAUGUCGUCAUUAGAGAGAGUCCCAAUGAGGCUCGAUUUGUUCUUCUUCGCUGUUUUUUAACUGGUGACAAAAGGCUUUCACUUUGGUUAAAUGGGAGGAGAUUCUUGUGACUCAUCAGUUGAAUCGGAAUAUAGAGAAAGAACGUCAGGGGAGAGAGAAGGGCUAGGGACAGAGCUAUUUAUAGAGGACAUUGAGCGGGUCUUAGUCAUGAUGAAGGAGAGAAGUGAGAGAGGAAGACAGGAAAAAGAGGAAAGUGAAGAAUUAAGAGAGAAGAGGAAGGGUUUUCUGGAAGAGUGAGAGAGAGAAGAAAAGUCUGAAGAUGAAGAGACAAAAGAGGAGUGAAGGGAAAGUUAAGGGAGAAGAAAGGUGGCAGAGCACGCUAAACAAGGAAACACAAU
rnacentral:misc_RNA from 1 species